rnacentral:lncRNA from 1 species
CCAGGACCUGACACCAGUCUCUCUGAUGGGACAAAAGGGCUGUCCCCCAAGUUGCCCCCUCUCCCUCUUGACUUCCUUCCCAACAAUGGAGUGACAAAAGCCAAACCACAGGGGCAUCAAAAGUCCCAAGAGCAGAUUUCAGGGGAAACUUAAGAAGGCUGGAACAGGAAGCAGCUGAGCAGGCAGCCCACAACAUUCCCAGGCACCAAGGGAAUAGCCAGAACAGGAUGGUGUACCUGUGUCCUAGAGGAGUAUAUAAUGUGACAGAGUGAACAGUGACUGGACUGUGUAGGAGCUCCUUGACUUUGAAGGUAACUAAACUGGGUUUGAAUCAACACUACUCCCUCCUAGCUGUG